UUGUAAACCAUAAAGAUGAGGAAGGAGUCCAUGGAAAUGUAAAAUGAAUACAGAAUAUUCUGUGUUCUGUUCAUAUUCCUUUUCUAGCAUUUAUUAAAUUGUCCAUAUCUAUGGCACAUUAGUGUCUCUGUCCUACUAACCUGAACUCACUGAGGCUAAGUCAUAAUCAUCCCCAUUUACAUACCUUGAGGUGAAAGUUUUGUUAAUGCAUGUUUUUCUGAAGAACUACGAAAACCAUAGAAACAUGUAUAUAGAAGCUGGUUUUAAAAAUCACUUUUCUCAUUAUCCUCUGAGAAAGUGUGGUACCAGAUAGGAGGUAAUUCUGGUUAAAAC
rnacentral:lncRNA from 1 species